GUUUUGUCGAGGAAAAUUGUUUUGAGAUAACGAAGUGCUGUCUGAGUUCGGAAUCACCACCUAAUCAGGUGUUGAUAUGAAGUGACAUUACACUGAGAGAUUUAAAGAGAUGUAGAUCACUAGUGUAAAUAAUUGUACCUCUUCGCCAAAGGGGAAGGAGCUGACGCGGUAGCAGCGCAUCACAUACAUACACUCGAUUCAGCAUUUUGAGAUCUAUGGGAUUGUACUCUGAUUUUAUUAUUGUUCGAUGUAAUGAUUUUGAGACAUGUUUAUUAUGGUUUGAGUAAAUUACACAAAUAGUCCCUAAGGUUUAGGUAAUUUACACGUUUGGUCCCCAACUUAGUUUUUUAACUCGGAACUUCCCUACUGUUUCUUUUUGUUACGCUUUUGGUCCCUGUCUUACCUAAAAAGAUUAUUUUGCCCAUGAUUUUUUAAUUUAUUUAAAUAACACACCCCCAACCCCACCCUUCAUCUUACCAUACCUACCUCAUCAUUUUUCCCUAUUUAAAUAAUAGUCUUUUUAUGUAAGAUAGGGAGCAAGCGCGUAACAAAAACAACCUGUAGGGACCAAGUGUGUAAUAAAAACAAACAGUAGGGACCUUCCGAAUUAAAAAAAUAAGUUAGGGACCAAACGUGCAAAUUACCCAAACCAUAGGGACCAUUCGUGUAAUUUACUCCUAUGGUUUUAUGGAUUAUUAUGAU